rnacentral:rRNA from 1 species
AACGAACGCUGGCGGCAUGCCUAACACAUGCCAGUCGAACGAGACCUUCGGGUCUAGUGGCGCACGGGUGCGUAACGCGUGGGAACCUGCCCUUAGGUUCGGAAUAACUCCCCGAAAGGGGUGCCAAUACCGGAUAAUGUCUUCGGACCAAAGAUUUAUCGCCUUUGGAUGGGCCCGCGUUGGAUUAGCUAGUUGGUAGGGUAAAAGCCUACCAAGGCGACGAUCCAUAGCUGGUCUGAGAGGAUGAUCAGCCACACUGGGACUGAGACACGGCCCAGACUCCUACGGGAGGCAGCAGUGGGGAAUAUUGGACAAUGGGCGAAAGCCUGAUCCAGCAAUGCCGCGUGAGUGAUGAAGGCUUUAGGGUUGUAAAGCUCUUUUACCCGGGAUGAUAAUGACAGUACCGGGAGAAUAAGCUCCGGCUAACUCCGUG